GACGAACGCUGGCGGCGUGCUUAACACAUGCAAGUCGAACGAAGUGGCGAACGGGUGAGUAACGCGUAAUCAACCUGCCCUUCAGCGGGGGACAACAGUUGGAAACGACUGCUAAUACCGCAUACUGAAGGAGAGGAUUGCGUCGGAUUAGCUAGUUGGAGGGGGAACGGGCCACCAAGGCGAUGAUCAGUAGACGGUCUGGUAGGAUGAACGGCCACAUUGGGACUGAGACACGGCCCAGACUCCUACGGGAGGCAGCAGGGGGGAAUCUUCCGCAAUGGACGAAAGUCUGACGAAGCAACGCCGCGUGAGUGAUGACGGCCUUCGGGUUGUAAAGCUCUGUUAAUCGGGACGCGGUACCGGAAUAGAAAGCCACGGCUAACUACGUGCCAGCAGCCGCGGUAAUUC
rnacentral:rRNA from 1 species